CAGCCGCCACGGUAAUACGGAGGGGGCUAGCGUUGUUCGGAAUUACUGGGCGUAAAGCGCACGUAGGCGGCUUGGUAAGUUAGAGGUGAAAGCCUGGAGCUCAACUCCAGAAUUGCCUUUAAGACUGCCGAGCUAGUAGGUGAGAGAGGUAAGUGGAAUUCCGAGUGUAGAGGUGAAAUUCGUAGAUAUUCGGAAGAACACCAGUGGCGAAGGCGGCUUACUGGCUCAUUCUAGACGCUGAGGUGCGAAAGCGUGGGGAGCAAACAGGAUUAGAUACCCCCGUAGUCCCUGUCUCUUAUAA
rnacentral:rRNA from 1 species